CCUACGGGAGGCAGCAGUGGGGAAUAUUGGGCAAUGGAGGAAACUCUGACCCAGCGACGCCGCGUGCGGGAUGAAGGCCUUCGGGUUGUAAACCGCUUUCAGCAGGGAAGAAGCGAAAGUGACGGUACCUGCAGAAGAAGCACCGGCUAACUAUGUGCCAGCAGCCGCGGUAAUACAUAGGGUGCAAGCGUUGUCCGGAAUUAUUGGGCGUAAAGAGCUCGUAGGUGGUUCGUCACGUCGGAUGUGAAAAUCUGGGGCUUAACCCCAGACCUGCAUUCGAUACGGGCGAGCUUGAGUAUGGUAGGGGAGUCUGGAAUUCCUGGUGUAGCGGUGGAAUGCGCAGAUAUCAGGAGGAACACCAAUGGCGAAGGCAGGACUCUGGGCCAUUACUGACACUGAGGAGCGAAAGCGUGGGGAGCGAACAGGAUUAGAUACCCUGGUAGUCCACGCCGUAAACGGUGGGCACUAGUUGUGGGGACCUUCCACGGUCUCUGCGACGCNGCUACGCAUAGUCGCCCGCCGUCGGGAGGUACGAGUCGCGAGAGUUAAACUACGAAGAGUAGUAGACGUGAGAGACGCGACGACGACGACGACGGAGGAGG
rnacentral:rRNA from 1 species